rnacentral:rRNA from 1 species
AUUGAACGCUGGCGGCAGGCCUAACACAUGCAAGUCGAGCGGAUGAAGGGAGCUUGCUCCUGGAUUCAGCGGCGGACGGGUGAGUAAUGCCUAGGAAUCUGCCUGGUAGUGGGGGAUAACGUCCGGACACGGGCGCUAAUACCGCAUACGUCCUGAGGGAGAAAGUGGGGGAUCUUCGGACCUCACGCUAUCAGAUGAGCCUAGGUCGGAUUAGCUAGUUGGUGGGGUAAAGGCCUACCAAGGCGACGAUCCGUAACUGGUCUGAGAGGAUGAUCAGUCACACUGGAACUGAGACACGGUCCAGACUCCUACGGGAGGCAGCAGUGGGGAAUAUUCGACAAUGGGCGAAAGCCUGAUCCAGCCAUGCCGCGUGUGUGAAGAAGGUCUUCGGAUUGUAAAGCACUGUAAGUUGGGAGGAAGGGAAGUAAGUUAAUCCCUUGCUGUUUUGACGUUACCAACAGAAUAAGCACCGGCUAACUUCGUG